AUGGAGCCUAAUCGUGCACCUGGCCCUGAUCGUGUACCUGCUGAAUUUUACCAGCACUGCUGGGAUGUUGUUUGCAUGGAUCUUUUUAGACUAUUUGAGUGGUUUCAUGAAGGCAAGCUGGAUGUGCAGCGUCUGAAUUAUGGCAUUAUCACCCUUUUGCCCAAAACCUUUGAGGCCAAUAAAAUACAAUAGUACAGACCUAUUUGCUUGUUGCGCUCCCCUUAUAAGCUGAUCACCAAGGUCAUGGAUAGGAGAGCGAGUGUAUAUUCCCCCAAACUAUUUAGUAUUCAACAGAAUGCCUUCAUAAAAGGGAGGGACAUGAAGUCAUACAUUAUACUCAUGUGA
rnacentral:rRNA from 1 species